AAACGGAUGGGCCCUCGAAAUCCUGUGGCGGGAGGAUUCAGUUGGAUGAUGCGGGUGCAGAUGCGUGCUGGCUUUGAAUCAUGAUCUCCUUUUGAGGAAACGGCCGCGUGCACAGUGGCUGCGUCGGACGACGCAUUUGCUUCCCGUCCGAAGGACGCCGCAACCGGUUGGGAGACGGCCUUAAAGGUAGCCGCUGGCAGGUGACUGACGGUGCCGACGAUUCGUCGUUGGCUAAGUUUGCGUUAUAGCCUGGCAUGCCGGAUGGCUCGUAAC
rnacentral:rRNA from 1 species